UACGUAGGGUGCAAGCGUUGUCCGGAAUUAUUGGGCGUAAAGAGCUCGUAGGCGGUUUGUUGCGUCGGCUGUGAAAUCCCGAGGCUCAACCUCGGGUCUGCAGUCGAUACGAGCAAACUAGAGUGUUGCAGGGGAGACUGGAAUUCCAGGUGUAGCGGUGAAAUGCGUAGAUAUCUGGAGGAACACCGGUGGCGAAGGCGGCAUCCUGGACCGACAUUGACGCUGAGGCGCGAAAGCUAGGGGAGCAAACGGG
rnacentral:rRNA from 1 species